GUUCGAUCGAGUUUCACCAGCGCGCUACUGUUGCGAAAUCUCAAAUGGAAAGAGUUAGAUCAAAUACAACUCUCCUACGACAACCUGAAGUUGCUCACGCAUUUUCAAAUGAGUCUAUUUGAAUGUACACGUUCAACGUUGCGUCGCACUUAAUGCAAAUGGAUGUGGCGAGCCGUUAUAGUUUAUCGCGUCUUCAUAUUUUGAAGCUUCAUUCAGCGCGUUUCGCCAAAAAUGUGAGAAUUCGUGAAUCCCGGUGGCAUUUGACUGACAUUGAUCUUCAAAAACUUUCAAACAGCGAGAAAUUCACGGCAUUUGGCAUCUGAGAUUCUACCUCUGCUACGUAGACAUCAUCCUCAGUUUACAGCGGAGAGAGCAAUCGGCCUUGAGUUUCUGCUAUUUCGGUGAGUUAGGAAAAUGAAUACGAAAGAUACAAGGUAAUUAAUUUGUCGGUGAUGUGUGUAUAGUAAAAAAAAGAUCGUUUCAAAAUCGUGUAAUCAUAAGUUACUUUGUAAAUCCAGGAUAUCUUGAAGAAAGGUAUGUUUAAUCGAAAAAUGAUAUAUAGAGCGCAAUAACGAUAACACAAAUAAUUCUCACGAUGCGACGCCAUCGGAGUUCUUGAUAUUUGCGAAAUGACGACAAGGAGGAACCUCCUUCCGGAUAGAUAUUAGGAUUUCGGUAUUGGCACGUCGGAACAUAUAUAGUUUUAUUGAUUUUUCGUGGAGUGAAAUCAAAUAUAUACGUUGCUCGGCGAGAAUAUUCUCUAUAUUUUCACGAAGCCGGGGGAAUGCCGGUCGAUAAGCGAAAUCCACGACGGGAAUCUUGCGAUCAACUCUGCAGGGGUGUACAUUCGCAUUGUAUGCUCUUAUAUCUAUAUAUACACGUACAUAAGCUGCGGCUAAUAUGAUACACAUACACACACAUACACACGCAAUAUACGCGUAUAUAUACGUACUAUACACGGUGUUCCGAAAUCCGUAUAGUAUAGAAGCAGCGUCUUAUUCGAAACUUGUGUUCAGUAUUUACAUCGAAAGUUAAGGAUGUAAAUUAAAUUUUGAAAUUGUGUUUACGUAAUUAGAUAGAUUAUCUCUCAAUUAAUCUCAAGUGUUGUACUUUAACAGAAAUUUAUCUUGACGUAUUUCAUCGUCGAUACAUUGGGAAUUAAAAUUGAGAGCUGCCCCGAGUCGAAGUUUUGCUUCUAUAACCUCGCAAGCUUCAUUGAAUUUGGACUACACAGAGAAAAUGAUCUGGUUGAAUCAAAUAAACGCUUCUUUGGAAUAGUCCAAACGAAUUUUUCGAUUGAUCAAACAAAAUUUUGUUUGAAGCAACAAAAAUAUUUAUUUGCGGCUUAGUUCCAAAGCAAUAUUUUUGUUGUGUCAACCAAAUAAUUCGUUUGGACCAUUCCAAAGAAACAUUUAUUUGAAUUAAUAAGUCGUUCUCUCUGUGUAGCGAUGCGUUCGGAGAUGUAAAAUUGUACAGGCUAUUGCCCUACGUUUGAUGCUACAGAUGAUUAUUUCCUAUUUUGAGGAUCAUAUUGAGAAUUACAUUCAAAGAAUUACAAAGAAAGAAUUUAUUUCCGCGAUUUUAUUUAAUAUUUAUUUAUCUUCAUAUUUUCUAUCUAUAAUAUUUUCUAUCUAUGUAAUUUUCUUAUAAUUUCAACAAGCAAUAAAUAUAUUAAUCUCUUCGAUAGUGAUUCUUUAGUAAUUUAAGGUGUCAAAUAAUUUACAACUAUGAAUGCCGAGCUUAAAAUCUAAAUAUUGUAAGUGCUAAUAUUUAUGUCUCACAAUGUGUUUCUUUGGAUUGCGAGUUUUGUUUACAUCUACCAACGCCCUUUUUCCACUUCUAUUUAUGAUUGUUAUUGCGCGCUUAGAGAAAAAGACAUGAUGGAAACUAUAUAGGUAACUACGAUUUUUGAAUGUAGAAUUAAUGUAUACAGUUUAGUAAAUUCUAUUUUGUAGUUAUUGUGACUAAAGUUUUGCAAUAACUACAAAAUAGCUUAUUAAAUUCUGUACAUCACAAUUCUAUACAUAAAACUCGUACAAUUGUCACCUGUAUAGCUGCCAUCAUCAUGUUUUCCUCUGAGUGUGUAUCAUAUCUAAAUUCAAAUCUAUAUUGACACACAACAUUAUUGGGCACAUAACUACUAUCUUUAUAAUUCCUUUCUCUUCAUUGAAUUUCCUUUCUCUUUUUUGAAUUUUCAAAUGCUAUCGAAAUUUCCAACGUUUAUGAAAAUAAUAAUUAUAAAUAACUAUUUAUAACAUCAAACUAAGAUAAUAGUCUGCACAAUCUUACAUCUCAACAUUCUUCAUUGAUUCUUCAAGUUCGAUAGAUAUUGCAGGGUUAACGUGGAAGCAAAAAUUCCUUUGGGCGCGGUGCAAGAGAUUGAACUUUCCGCGAAAAACUCGACUGUAAAUUUCGCCAAAAAUCCCACACGACUUCGCAACCGGUUGUCGCUUUUCCAGAGCGUUCUGUGUAUAAUCGUACACAAAGCCUUGCUGAAAAUGAGUUUCGCAACCCUCCUAGUGUCGGGUCAGGCUCCAUUCUCUUUCUUUAUUUCUCGACUCGAGAAUUUAGCGAGGCCCACGACGGAGAAAUAAUAAGACCUCCUCCGUAGUAAACGGCACACCGUGCCAUGGGGUACAAAUGAAUUGUCAUGAAUAUGUAAAUUGAAUUUCGAGCUGGUCGCCGAGUAUUAUGCGUGACGGUCGACGGGGUAACGAUGGGGGCGCGUCCACAAGGCGAAGGAGAGAGAGGGCGGAAGAGUUGACAAAGACAGAGUGGGGGAGAGAGAGAGAGAGAGGGGGAGGAGGGUGGGCAAAGGGAGAGAACGAUGCUGUUUGUGUGCCGAUCGUAUUCAAUUUCGUCCCCGCGCCAAUUCGAACGGAAGGGCUGAGUGAACUUUUUGUCUUCCGGCAGAAAUGAUUACCGGUCGCUGCGGCUGAUGCGAGUCUGCAUGAAAGAACCCGGUCGUUAUCGAGCUGCGCUCGAAACGCGUGCAGGGCGCGAAGAGUGCGCGACCGCUCUCGGGAGCUCUUAACGAAUAACUCUCACCGAGUCGCACGGGCCUAGACAGCACAAGAUCUCCAGGGGAUGUCCUGGGGACGUCCUCAGAACGUGUUUAGAAAAAAUAUCCUGUGGAUAUUUGGAUAUCCUGUGGAUAUCUGUGCUGUUUGAGGGAAAUCGUAAGCAUAAGUUGAGAUUACGGUUGCUCGCGUUAUACGUGAGCCGUUCGGAAAGCACGUGAUCUAAUAUAGAAAUAACGCAAAUUUGGAUAAAUCUUUAUUCGCGUAUUUUAGAGUCAUCCUUCGUUAGGUUAAGCAUGACAGUAUAGAAUGAUCUGUCAAUUAGUCUUUAUUUGACAGUGCGCCAAAGUGAACUCUACGAGUAAUGGAUCUUACGUUUGGUGACACUAGCAAAGACUGAACAAUUUCACUGUUUCUCACACUGUUGUUCUUUUUGAAAAAUGGUUCUUUCACUGUAAUUUGAAAAACUUUUAGCAUAAAUUUACAAUCAUGUUGGUACAACAUAGAUCUACCACUUUACUUCAAAAACAAGGAAACAGUCGAAACAAUAAACGCACGACGUGCGAGACGCUCGAGACGUGUCAAACAAAGAUUGAUCGACAGACCAUUCUAUACUAUCAUACUUAAUCUAAUAAAGAAUGGCUUUGAAAUAAAGAUUUGGCCAAAUUCACACGCUAUCUUUGUAUUAGACCAUGUACUUUUUGAACUACCCACGUACGUGCGGAUUACAUCUCCAAGUCUUUGAAUUUCUAUUUUCCCUCGCGGCUUCUCGCGUCUUUGAGUUCCCGCGUGCCUCUUGCGGGAGUCUCUUCGUCCCAGUUAGGCUGCGUUCGGAAACUUCAUCCGGAUGCACCCGGAUGCACCUCGCGCCGUUCGGAAACCUUCGGGUUACACCCAAGUGACAAUGGUGGAGUCGUUCGGAAACUCUAUUGAAUGCACCUGGAGUGAGAGAUUCUUCAUCCUGAAAUUUCAGGGUGGAUUCGGAUAACUUGUUGCACUUUGCGGGAUUUUUAAAUAAUAUUUUCGACUUGUGUUGACUUGUUCCUUAAUUUCAUAGUAGCUUCAAUUACCAACUCUUAUCCAAGCUUCAACAACAUUUGCCUUCUCAAUCAUUCAAUCUGCUUCGUUAUCGCUAGUGUUUGAAUAUAAACUAUCCAAAAUUGUUUUAAUUAAUUAUAAUUUAGCUGUCGCGACACGAAAAUACUUUUAUUUGCCAUUAAGUUUGUUUUUUAUUGCUGAAUUAGCGUGCACUAGCUUGCACUAGUUUUUCUCUCGUCUUUUCUCCGUCCAGUCUUUAGGAGAGAUCGGGACUAGAUGCUCCGUAUUUCAGAAUUUCAAAGUUACAACUUCUCAGACAUAUAAUUAUUAUGAUUGACUGUACAAACAUGGUAGAGGCAGUCUUCUUCUAGUGGUAAUACCUGCCAUGACCGUAUAUUUUGUUUCUUAAUAACCAAAAUACAAGUAUGUAUUAACAUGGCUAUCUUGCUCUACCGGAUUCAGUUGCCUAGUAUAAGGCAGGGUUAUGCAGAAAGCCGCAUAUAAAAUAUGUAUUCUGAUUAGUAGUUCCGUAGUGUUUACGAGAGGGCUCUACAGUCUUGCUACUGGUCCUUAAUUAUAAGUCAACUUUACUUCGUCCGCUCAUAUGCUCGAUUACAGUCAUUUUAUGAAAGUAAAUUGCUUUUAUUAUUCACAACAGAAUAUAUCAUACACCUGCAAGAAACUUCAUUCUAGCUGGUAACACGUUGCUUAACUUUGUUCACUCACGGUAGAGAAUAUUAAUAUAAAAUUUCGAAAGGUUCAAAAACUUAGUAUACUACUACUAAGUUUUCUGUUUUUAACUGUAAUAUUAUAUUGAUUUUAAUAAAAUUCGAGGAAAUGUAUUUAUGUUCUCCAAAAGAAACAUUUCGCGAUUUUGUAUCCAUUGUUUCUCUUAAGAUAAAUAUUGCAAUACAGCACAUGCGCAACAUACCUCUGGGGCCAUUUAG